AGAAGAUAGUUUUGGAAAGGCAGAGAUUGAAGAACAUAGAGGAGAAUACCAACAACAAUUGAAGUAUUUUUGGAUUAUUCUCUUCUCUUAAUUUCAUGAAUCUUUUAGUGUUCUUCAUGAUUAUAUGUAGCUAAAUACUCUUCUAGGGUUUAUGGUAGAUCUUGUAAUUGAAAUUCCUUAUACCAUAUCUUAGUUUUAUGUUCUACUUUCUUGUUUGAAUUUCUAUUUUUAGUUCAAUUAAUUUUAUCCUAUUGAUUUUAUCACAUGAUUAGGAAUGAUCAACCUAUGAAUGUUUAUAAUCAAUUGAUUGAUCAGCGACCGUACUGUAGUUAAUUGGUGGACCUAUAGGAUAAAUGAGACUUAGAUUAUUGCAUGACCAAACUUUAAUCUUAGUCUUCCAAUCAUUCAACCUUUUUGCACUUUAUGCUUUUCUUGAAUUUAAACUCUUUGUAUGACCAAACAAGGGGUUAAUUUAGGAAAAAGAAUAUUAAUCACGAAUGACCAAACAAAUUAAUAGUUUUAGUAAAGGAAUUGGUAAUUGAGUUAAAAUAAUGGAAUUCAAGUGGAACUAGACAUAGAGAAUCAAUGAUUGCGAGGGAAACCAUGACCCCUUGGCCUCUCUCUACUAGUUUACAACUUCACAUUUUUAUUCUUGUUCUUACUCGUACUCGUCAUUAUUUUCUCUUUAGUUAUCAUAAACAACUCAACUCUUUAUCCGUCUAGAUAAUAAACAAUCUUAACUAGUUU
rnacentral:lncRNA from 1 species